GACGAACCGUGCGAACGUUAUUCGGAAUUAUUGGGCGUAAAGGACGCAUAAGCGGCAUGGCAAGUGGAAGAUGAAAUCCCUCGGCUUAACCGAGGAACUACCCUCCAAACUGCUUUGCUUAAGGCCAGAAGAGAUGAAUGGAAUUCCCAAUGUAGCGGUGAAAUGCAUAAAUAUUGGGAGGAACACCAAUAGCGAAAACAGCUCACUGGACCGGUUCUGACGCUGAUGCGCGAAAGCGUGGGGAGCAAACGGG
rnacentral:rRNA from 1 species